rnacentral:rRNA from 1 species
UGGGGAAUCUUGCGCAAUGGGGGAAACCCUGACGCAGCAACGCCGCGUGGGUGAUGAAGGCCUUCGGGUCGUAAAGCCCUGUCAGGUGGGAAGAAACUUGUGGAUGUUAAUACCGUCCACACUUGACGGUACCACCGGAGGAAGCACCGGCUAACUCCGUGCCAGCAGCCGCGGUAAUACGGAGGGUGCAAGCGUUGUUCGGAAUUAUUGGGCGUAAAGCGCGUGUAGGUGGUCAGGUAAGUCAGAUGUGAAAGCCUUCUGCUUAACAGAAGAAGUGCAUUUGAAACUGCUUGGCUAGAGUACGGGAGAGGAGAGUGGAAUUCCCGGUGUAGAGGUGAAAUUCGUAGAUAUCGGGAGGAACACCAGUGGCGAAGGCGGCUCUCUGGUCCGAUACUGACGCUGAGACGCGAAAGCGUGGGGAGCAAACAGG